UUAAAACCAAAGUCCUAAUCAAACUAUAGUUAAAAGAACAAACAUAGUAUAAUAAAAUCAAGUACCACAAACACAGUAUAAUAAAAGUGUUGGUUCUGAACUCAGAAUUACAUGUUUAGCCACAAACUCAUGACUAGCCAAAUUCUGAACUCAAAAUUACAAUGCGUAAAAUCAAAACUGAAAUCGGCAAAACCAUUCUCAUCGUAAUUUGGAAAAAAAAAGGAGAGGAAAAAGUGAGUACCUUGCGAGAAUAGAAUCGGAAAAAGGAAGGAAGAGCGUUUUGUCGAGAUGAAGACUAGAAUCACGUUUCCUUCAAUGAGGCUGAGAAGUAUAAUCAAUUGGGAUUUUGGGGAUGAAAUCAAUUUUGGUGAUGAAAUUGAAACAGAAACUUUUGCGACAAAAAGAAACGAGAUGAGAAGUAGAAUCAAUUGGGAUUUUGGGGAUGAAAUCAAGAAGAACAAACAGUAUAUAUUCAUCUUGGGGAAGUUAAAGAUGCAGUGUUUGUUUUUUUUUUUU
rnacentral:lncRNA from 1 species